rnacentral:rRNA from 1 species
GGGCCCGCACAAGCGGUGGAGCAUGUGGUUUAAUUCGACGCUACGCGAAGAACCUUACCAGGGUUUGACAUUCAGAGGGAGCAUGCAGAGAUGUAUGCGUCCGGGCAACCGGACUUCUGGACAGGUGCUGCAUGGCUGUCGUCAGCUCGUGCCGUGAGGUGUUGGGUUAAGUCCCGCAACGAGCGCAACCCUUAUCCUUAGUUGCCAUCGGGUUAAGCUGGGAACUCUGAGGAGACUGCCGGAGUUAAUCCGGAGGAAGGUGGGGAUGACGUCAAGUCAGCAUGGCCCUUACGUCCUGGGCUACACACGUGCUACAAUGGCCGGUACAACGGGCAGCUAAAGAGCAAUCUGGAGCGAAUCCCUUAAAACCGGUCUCAGUUCGGAUUGGAGGCUGCAAUUCGCCUCCAUGAAGUCGGAAUCGCUAGUAACCGCAGAUCAGCUACGCUGUGGUGAAUACGUUCCCGGGCCUU